rnacentral:rRNA from 1 species
UGGUCAAGUUAUUAAGGGUGCAGGGCGGAUGCCUUGGCACUAGGAGCCGAUGAAGGACGUGAUAAGCUGCGAUAAGCUUCGGGGAGUUGCACGUAAACUUUGAUCCGAAGAUUUCCGAAUGAGGAAACUCACUUAGAGUAAUGUCUAAGUAUCAUUAAGUGAAUACAUAGCUUAAUGAGGGGAACUCAGGGAACUGAAACAUCUAAGUACCUGAAGGAAGAGAAAGAAAUUCGAUUCCGUAAGUAGCGGCGAGCGAACGCGGAUUAGCCCAAACCAAGAAAGUUUUCUUUAUUGGGGUUGCGGACAUAUCAUAACGAAGAGGUAUCGUAAUUGAAGAGGUUUGGAAAGACCCACCACAGAAGGUAAUAGUCCUGUAUGUUAAACGAGAAGACUUCAGAUAUGAUCCAGAGUACCACGGGACACGUGAAACCCUGUGGGAAGCAGGAGGGACCACCCUCCAAGGCUAAAUACUACCUAGUGACCGAUAGCGUAUAGUACCGUGAGGGAAAGGUGAAAAGAACCCCGGGAGGGGAGUGAAAUAGACCCUGAAACCCGGUCCUUACAAGCUGUGGAAGCACAUUUCUCGUGUGACCGCGUACUUUUGGUAGAACGGGCCAACGAGUUACGUUAAGUAGCAAGGUUAAGCACUUAAGGUG